UCGCCAACCAGGGUAAACCAUCCAUUAUGCUU
rnacentral:piRNA from 1 species